rnacentral:rRNA from 1 species
UACAGAGGGUGCUAGCGUUAAUCGGAAUCACUGGGCGUAAAGGGCACGUAGGUGGGUGCUUAAGUCAGAUGUGAAAUCCCUCAGCUCAACUGAGGAAUGGCAUCUGAUACUGAGUACCUUAAGUACAGGAGAGGGAAGUGGAAUUUCCGGUGUAGCGGUGAAAUGCAUAGAUAUCGGAAGGAACACCAACGGCGAAGGCAACUUCCUGGCCUGAUACUGACACUGAGGUGCGAAAGCGUGGGGAGCAAACAGG